GGCCACAUUACGUUGAAGCACCGGUUCCCGUACGAUCACCGAAGUUAAGCAACGUCGAGCGUGGCCAGUACCCAGAUAGUUGACUGCUUAUAAAUACCAUGUGCUGAA